CUCACUGCUAGGGAGGUCAAGGCUAGCAGAAUCUCACAACAUCCAUCCAAGAUCCAUGGCUAAAAUGAGACCUGGCUG
rnacentral:lncRNA from 1 species